UACGUAGGGUGCAAGCGUUGUCCGGAAUUAUUGGGCGUAAAGAGCUCGUAGGCGGUCUGUCGCGUCGGCUGUGAAAACUCGGGGCUCAACCCCGAGCCUGCAGUCGAUACGGGCAGACUAGAGUGCUGUAGGGGAGACUGGAAUUCCUGGUGUAGCGGUGAAAUGCGCAGAUAUCAGGAAGAACACCCGUGGCGAAGGCGGCUCUCUGGGACGGUACUGACGCUGAGACGCGAAAGCGUGGGGAGCGAACAGG
rnacentral:rRNA from 1 species